CCUGACCAUCUUUCCCCAGUAACACUGGAAUGAAACAGUCUAUUGAUUCUAAAGAAAGGCAGUUGUCUCAAAGGUCUCCUAGACUUGUGAGAAGCAUAGCCCAAGGAAAGGCUUCUGCAGAGAGGGCAGCCUUGUGCCCCUUGGCGGUUGAAGCACUUGAAGGACGCGGUGGAGCAGCUCUCCUGAUGCAUUGAUUUGCUUUCAGAAGAAAAUGCAAUAGACCACCUGCAGAAGGACAGAGUGCAGUUACCUGUGAAGGGAUGAUAGAGCUGUGCAAUACUGAAGAAGCGUUCAGAAGACUUCUCAGCAACAAGCUGGAGCCAUCAGCCAGGAGAAAGGGGCUGAGGCCGGUGUGGAUGCAGCCCCAUGAGUACCCUGCUACCAGAGUGCCUUUGGUGGGGUACACGCCUCUCGGAGCUAGACCAUUACGAAGAGAGACCUCCAGUCACCUUCAGUCACCUCCAGCCUCUUGCAACAUCUGGCCUGGGCAUCAGAACAAUCUAAUUCAAGAGAGAAAAUCCAUGUUCAUCCCAUGACACCUUAGCCUUUGGAGAGAUGCUUCAACAAAAAGGUGGCACAUAACAAAGCUGGACACAUGGAGAUCAGCACGUUGACCAGCACACUGAUUACUCUUGAGACUUUAAUCUCAGAAACGCUCAACAGCCUUAGUUAAUAUACAGUCACUGUGUGACCCCACAGCUCUCAGUCUCUGUAGCAAAUCCACAGCCUACAGACAAAGAAGUAUACAUCUGUUAAAUAAAGCACAGUCACCAACUUUCACACCUAAAACAUGACUGCAAGGGCCUCGUUUCUUUUAAAGAGAUUUUAAAAGAGAGAGAAAUCUAUGUCUUUUAGGAAUAAAAACUAAUUUGGCUAAAAGGGAACACAGAACAAACUUUCCCUUGGGCAAGGUACCCUGUAAUAUAUCAGCCUCUUGCAGUUUGCCUGCUUACAGACCAGUCGCAGGGAAAGACUGGUCCUGCUGCUCCAGCUGCUCCUGCUCUCCUGACUUCCAGAGGAUCACACAUGGGUGAUAGGUCUUGAUCUCAUGGUGGAGGGGAAGCCCUUCAGGUAAACCCGGAGCCUUCUAGCAGCCAGAAAAACACCUUGUCCUGGAAAGGGUCCAGCUCCGUGCAGGCCUGCAGCUCCUGCCCCAACAGAGUUGCUGCCAUGGUCCUCGGUGCCCGCCUGUGCCAGGGGAUGCCCCAGCAAAGAAGACCACCACGUCUGAGAUACUUGAUCCAUGCAGGCAAACCAUGCUGAAGAAGGGAAAAACCAGAAGGGGGAGAACAUUUAGGAACUGCAAGGAAACCAUGAUAGAAGGCAAUCAAGACCAGAUUCUAAAAGCUAGAAAAAUGGAAAAAAAAAUGUUUUCAAGACUGGAAAGCUUCUGAAAUAAUGGAGGACAUGCA